UACGUAGGGGGCAAGCGUUGUCCGGAUUUAUUGGGCGUAAAGAGCGUGUAGGCGGUUUGGUAGGUCCGCUGUGAAAACUCGAGGCUCAACCUCGAGACGCCGGUGGAAACCAUCAGGCUAGAGUCCGGAAGAGGAGAGUGGAAUUCCUGGUGUAGCGGUGAAAUGCGCAGAUAUCAGGAAGAACACCCCGUGGCGUAAAGGGCGG
rnacentral:rRNA from 1 species